UACGGAGGGUGCGAGCGUUGUCCGGAAUCAUUGGGCGUAAAGGGCGCGUAGGUGGCCACUUCAAGCGUGCGGUGAAAGUCGGGGGCUCAACCCCUGAUCGGCCGUGCGAACUGGGGGGCUGGAGCACUGUAGAGGCAGGCGGAAUUCCGGGUGUAGCGGUGGAAUGCGUAGAGAUCCGGAAGAACACCGGUGGCGAAGGCGGCCUGCUGGGCAGUUUUGCUGACACUGAGGCGCGACAGCGUGGGGAUCAAACAGG
rnacentral:rRNA from 1 species